AAUACAGCGGCCUAGCCCAUGACUUUAUAACCUUCCUCGUUUUGCCCAUCGUAUCAUGCAUUUAUAGUAUUAUCAUAUACAUAUAGCGCCAGAUAUGGAUAUACUAGACUACACACUCCAUUACAAGUAAUAAAAAAAAUAUCAUUUUCAAAUAAAAACCGCUCCAGCAUUUAUAUUAAGGCGCCGGUGGCUAGAUCAAACGUUCGAGCAAUCGGACAUGGAAAUUUUUCCAGCCAUUUUUCAGCCGCGGAUCCGAUAGAGAAGUUAUCGGAUCAAUUUGUCAAAAAUGUGGAGCUAAUGUUAAUAUGAUGUGAAGGCUGAUUGAAUGAAAUUGUUGGGUCAAAUUGACAUGGUAUAAAAUGGAGUGAAAGCACGUGGGGACAUAUGAGACAUGACCAGCGAUACGACAUCGUAAGACUUAGUCUUCGGUCGAUAAUUUCCGCAUGGGAGUCGUCAUCGUCUGACGGUGUAAACAAACAUUACGACGUGCUACUAAAAACAAGGCUUAUUCUAUUGUAUAUAUAUGUUUAUAUAUAUAUGUAUAUAUAUGUAGACAGUGUGGAGUAUUAACUAAUGUAUGCUAUCUAAGGUAAUGUUAUUUUAACCUUCAUACAAUACGAGCUAUUAUUUUUUAUCAUUAAUUUGUCAAUGAUAAUAAUUAUUAGUGGGUAAUGUAUGUGAGUUAUAUUUAUUUAAAUAAUUAAAAAUAAUGUGUUGUAAAAUAGAGAUGAAUGUGACUGAGAGAAUAUAAAACUAGAUAAAAAUAUAAGUAAUG